ensembl:snRNA U6 U6 spliceosomal RNA
GUGCUCGCGCCGGCAGCACACGUACUAAAAAACCUGGAACGAUACAGAGAAGCUUAGCACGGCCCUGCACAAGGAAGACACGCACAUUUCUGAAGCGUUCCAUAAAAAA